UAGCUACUCCCUCCGUUCGGAAUUACUUGUCGUAGAAAUGGAUGUAUCUAGAACUAGAUACAUCCAUUUCUACGACAAGUAAUUCUGAACGGAGGGAGUAGUUG
rnacentral:pre_miRNA from 1 species